AAAAGACUUAGUCCUAACCUUACAGUUAGUUUUUGCUAGACAUAUACAUGCAAGUAUCCGCACCCCAGUGUAAAUGCCCCUAUCGCCCCAUGUAAGGACCUAAGGAGCAGGUAUCAGGCACACCCAAGAAGUAGCCCAAGACGCCUUGCUCAGCCACACCCCCACGGGUAUUCAGCAGUAAUUAACAUUAAGCAAUAAGUGCAAACUUGACUUAGUCAUAGCAACUCCCCCAAGGGCUGGUAAACCUUGUGCCAGCCACCGCGGCCAUACAAGAAGCCCAAAUUAACUGCACUACCGGCGUAAAGAGUGGCAACAUGAUAUCCAAGUAACUAGGGUCAAAGUACAGCCAAGCUGUCAUAAGCACAAGAUGUACCUAAAGCCACCCUUAAGACGAUCCUAGCACCAACGACCAAUUUCAACCCACGAAAGCCAGGGCACAAACUGGGAUUAGAUACCCCACUAUGCCUGGCCCUAAAUCUAGAUGCUUACCCCACCCAAGCAUCCGCCCGAGAACUACGAGCACAAACGCUUAAAACUCUAAGGACUUGGCGGUGCCUCAAACCCACCUAGAGGAGCCUGUUCUAUAAUCGAUAAUCCACGAUUCACCCGACCACCCCUUGCCAACACAGCCUACAUACCGCCGUCGCCAGCUCACCUUCCCUGAAAGCCCAACAGUGAGCUCAAUAGUCAUCCACUAACAAGACAGGUCAAGGUAUAGCCCAUGGAGUGGAAGAAAUGGGCUACAUUUUCUAACACAGAAAACUACGAAAAGAGGUGUGAAACCGCCCCCAGAAGGAGGAUUUAGCAGUAAAGCAGGACAAUAGAGCCCACUUUAAACCGGCCCUGAGGCACGUACAUACCGCCCGUCACCCUCCUCACAAGCCACACAACCAUAUAAUUAAUACCCCACCAACAGCUGAAGAUGAGGUAAGUCGUAACAAGGUAAGUGUACCGGAAGGUGCACUUAGAAUACU
rnacentral:ncRNA from 1 species